rnacentral:rRNA from 1 species
UCGAACGCGAAAGUUCCCUUCGGGGAACAAGUAGAGUGGCGCACGGGUGAGUAACACGUAGGUAAUCUACCUUCGGAUCGGGAAUAACAACCGGAAACGGUUGCUAAUACCGAAUAAUGCAGCGGCACCUAAUGGUGACAGUUGUUAAAGCGGGGGAUCGCAAGACCUCGCGUCUGAAGAGGAGCCUGCGGCGGAUUAGCUAGUUGGUAAGGUAAUGGCUUACCAAGGCGAUGAUCCGUAGCCGGCCUGAGAGGGCGGUCGGCCACACUGACACUGACAUACGGGUCAGACUCCUACGGGAGGCAGCAGUCGGGAAUUUUGGGCAAUGGGCGAAAGCCUGACCCAGCAACGCCGCGUGAAGGAUGAAAUCCCUCGGGAUGUAAACUUCGCAAGAACGGGAAGAAUAAGUGAGAGCUAACAUCUCUUACGAUGACGGUACUGUCUGUAAGCUCCGGCUAACUCCGUGCCAGCAGCCGCGGUAAUACGGGGGGAGCAAGCGUUGUUCGGAUUUACUGGGCGUAAAGGGCGCGUAGGCGGCCACCGCAAGUCGACUGUGAAAUCUCCGGGCUUAACCCGGAAAGGUCAGCCGAUACUGCGGGGCUAGAGUGCAGAAGGGGCAACUGGAAUUCUCGGUGUAGCGGUGAAAUGCGUAGAUAUCGAGAGGAACACCUGCGGCGAAGGCGGGUUGCUGGGCUGACACUGACGCUGAUGCGCGAAAGCUAGGGGAGCGAACGGGAUUAGAUACCCCGGUAGUCCUAGCCUUAAACGAUGAAUGCUUGGUGUCUG